rnacentral:rRNA from 1 species
CACGUAGGGGACGAGCGUUGUCCGGAUUCAUUGGGCGUAAAGCGCGCGUAGGCGGCUCGGAAAGUCGGGCGUGAAAUGCCGGGGCUCAACCCCGGGACUGCGUCCGAUACUGGCGGGCUUGAAUCCGGGAGAGGGAUGUGGAAUUCCAGGUGUAGCGGUGAAAUGCGUAGAUAUCUGGAGGAACACCGGUGGCGAAGGCGGCAUCCUGGACCGGUAUUGACGCUGAGGCGCGAAAGCUAGGGGAGCAAACGGG